AUACGGAGGGUGCAAGCGUUACUCGGAAUCACUGGGCGUAAAGCGCGCGCAGGCGGUCUUUUAAGUUGGAUGUGAAAGCCUACGGCUCAACCGUAGAACUGCAUCCAAAACUAUUAGACUAGAGUGUGGGAGAGGAAGAUGGAAUUAGUUGUGUAGGGGUAAGAUCCGUAGAGAUAACUAGGAAUACCAAAAGCGAAGGCAAUCUUCUGGAACACUACUGACGCUGAGGCGCGAAAGCGUGGGGAGCAAACAGGAUUAGAAACCCGUGUAGUCC
rnacentral:rRNA from 1 species